UGAUUUGGGGAUUUAUGUUUAGAAAAUUAGGAUCGGUGAAAAAAAUUAAUGGAGAAGAUCUUGGGUUCAAUUCAACCAUGCUUACCCUUUUUUUAAUCAAUUUUAAUUAAAAAAUAAAUUGGGACAUUUUGCAGAUUAUAAAACGAUUUUUUCCAUCGAAACGAAAAUUCAUACCUAGUUCUUCUAACUCUAGUGGUGCAUCUAGUCUCUUCACUGCUUCUAGUCGAGCAUACAGGUUGUUAAAUAACACAAAGAAGUCUUGGGCUCAAUUCAAUGUGGAUGAUCUUGUAUCUAAUCCAGGAACUGCCUCCUAUCAAGUCAUAUGAUGUAAUAUCAAAGAUGAUGUUAGGAUGAUAUACUGAGAGAAAGGUCUUUGUCAUCCACAUGGACAUGACUUUUCAAGAAGACCGAUGAGAAAUGAUAAUAGGUAUUUUCAGAAAAAAUGGUUCUUUAAAUUUCAUUAGUUGGAGUAUAACAUAGAAAAUGAUGCGACCUAUUAUUUGUAUUGCUACUUGUUCAAAUCUGAUAGGGAGAUCAAAAGGUGGACAAAUAUUCACUAAAACGGGCUUUACAAAUUGAAAGCACAAAAAGAUAUUGAAAGAUCAUAUCAGUCUCUUUGAUAGUGUUCAUAAUCAAGUUUUUGCAAAGUUUACCAACUUGAUGAAUCAAAAGCAAAGUAUCUCCUAUGUUAUUUCUAGCCAAAGUAGUCAUCAACAAAAAAGUUAUGGGAUAAGGUUCUAUGGUGCUAGAUUGUACUAGAUUCCUCUUGAUGCAAGGAUUGCCAUUUCGUUGUCAUAAUGAAUCGAAAAAAUAUCUUAAUAGAGAAAAUCUAAUUAAGCUACUAAACUGAUAUGCAAUUUGUUGUGAGGAAAUUAAAGAAGUAGUAUUUAGAAUGCUACGAGGUUAUUGAAUUUGUAUAAGUAUGCAUUGUAGAACAUGAGAGAUAAUGGUUGGGAUAAUUUGUUGAGUAGGGUGAUUGAGUUUUAUGUUGGUAGAUAUAUUUUAGUGCCGAAUUUGGAAGAUAUUGUAGUAUUGAGAGGUCGACCUAAGCAUAUAGAUCAGCAGUUGAUUUGUUAUCGUCGCUUUUAUGUUGACUUGUACUGUUACAUGAUAGACUCAAUCUUGCAAGAGUUUAAAGAUCUUUUUCUGAAGACAACUACUGAGCUUCUUAUUUGUAUUUUGUAUUUAAGUCCAAGAGAUUCAUUUGCAGCUUUUGAAAAAGCUAAAUUGCUACAUAUUGCUCAGUUCUAUCAUUUGGAUUUCAAGAGUGAAGAGCUUUUAUUACUUAGAGCUCAACUUAACAAGUUUCUUAUGUUUGUGAGAAUGGACAAUGUUUUCUUUACUCUCAAUAGCGUAUCUCAUGUAACUCAGAA
rnacentral:lncRNA from 1 species